GCUGUUUCCUUAAUAAGUGAGUUGCCUGACUGAGUCAGAGAAGAGAGAGAAAAGCAGAGAGAGAAAACACCAGCCAGCUGAAAAGCCAGGAGAAAGCAGCAGAGAAAGAUGGCUUUGUAACCCAUAUCUCCCUUCAGGCUAUUAAUGCAAAAUUGUUUAUUUCAAUUCUGCAAAACUGGGUCUCCCUUUUUUGGAACGACAUUUCUGCUGAUUUCAAGGUUGUUAGAAAUGUUCAAUUAAACCGAUGGACCUGAUCUCUCCUGAGCUAGUACCACUGACAUCUAAAAUAUCCACUGCAUCAUUCUCAGGAGAUAAGAAGACAAAAGUACCCUGAUCCUGAAAAAAAAAGAAAAUCAGAUGUAGACUUGGAUGAAAUAGAAUAUAUUCUAUUUGGACUUGGAUUGAAAUAAGUAAGAAAGUUUGAAUUUGAAGGAAAGUUGCAGUCUUGGAACAAAUUAAGAAAGAGAACAUUAUUGGAAGAAAGAUGUAAGUAUCUUUCAAAGGGAGCUUUGUAAUAUUUGGAAGAAUAAAAGAAUCAUUCAAUACUUAACUAAAAUGGAUUGAGAUUCCAGUCCUUUUGGGGCUUGUCUAUCUCUAGCCUUAGUUACUGUGAAAUUCCUUGACAACAGUAAUAAAGCAUUUACACUGAGAGUCUUGACUUUUGCCCACCUGAAACAUUCUUCUUCUAUUGACUUAGAAAGCUUUGGGGGCAAAAAUUGUGUGAAGCAAUGAGGCCAUUCAAUAUUAGACAAAGGGAUAAAGCAUACAAUACUGGAGACAUAUUUUCCCUUUGCCUAUGAAAUGUUUCAUGUGAAAACUGCUUCUUUCAACAUGGCAGACCUUGUGGGAAAUGACCUGUACACUGGAUAAGUUGACAGGCACAGUAGGGGAUUUCAUUACACCUCACAAUUUGACUGGCACAACCAGCUCUCUCUGGCUCUCUGUAACCCUUGGCAAGUGCUUGGAAUUGAAUCUGUAAAUGUUAAUCAAUAUUUCAGGCCUAUUAAAUAACGAAAGGCAUUGCGGAAAUCAAAGCGCUAACGGUUGGCAUGGUGCUCUACACUGACUUCCAGGCCAUCAAAAACCUUGUAGGGAGCAAAAGAGCAAAUAUUUUAAUAAAACAAUUACCUCUACAAUUUCAAACCUGCAGAAGAAUGUUACAUCUCCAGCUCUAUCACACUAAAUUAAUUUUCAUUUCAAACAGGUUAGUGAACAGUAGCAACUCAAUACAGAUAUUUAAUGAGUCUUUAAGGUGCUGUCCUAAAUCUUGGGAAAGUAAAAGUCCACCAUGUGUUUAAAACAUCUGCAAGCACACCCAUUUCUUCUCAAAGAUGAAAUAGAGCAGAACUGUACCCAAAGCCUAAGGGAGUUUCACCUUGGAUUUCAGUGGAUAGAGGCCCUGAGUGAAAUUCAUGGGUGGGACUGAUUUAACACAGCUGUAGACAGCCACGCCACAGGCAUCCGGAGUUGUGCUGGUCACCUGAGGCUCAUUUUGGAGAGAAAUGAGAACUUCUGGAGUGCAAUUUAUUUCAUGCUAAAGCCAAAGUCUAAAAUAGGUCAAAUGAAUUGUACCUUAAAGCCCUCUGGUCUCUGAAGUGAUUACGAAGAGAGCCACAGGUAGCCAAAGCAACUGAGCAAUAGGAUCCAAAGUCAAAGGAAAUGAAUCACCACAUUCCUGUGUAUCUUGUGGUGCAUGGACAAAACCAGACUGCAAAAGGCAAGUGAAAUUGUGCUACUCUCAGGCAAGGGUGUAAAAAGAUUACAUAGAAAAAAAAAAAUAUUCAAGAUUUUAAAGUACUUCCCUGUGGUGAACUUUGAAAUGGGUCGAUAGGAGUACAUGUAUGUAUAAGAAACACCCACUGAGUGAAAAAUUAUCUCUAAUUUCUUCUUCCCUCCAGAAAAUAAAACAAAAAUCCAGGCACAAAGUGGUAACUUGCUGCAGAAUGAAGCAGCAAGUCUUGGUUUUUUCAGAGUCCUGGUAUAUGUGGGAGAUGGAUGAUGAUAUGGACCAGACUAAAUAAUGCUUGUCAACUUUGUAAUCCUAUCCUGCCUCUGAGAUGGGAAGCAGUCUCCAGUUUCUUUAAUUUGCCUUCAAAAAUUUCAGAAGAACCAGGUACUAUGACCAAAUAGCAAGGCCAGAUAUAACUAAUUGCAAGUCUUCCAGUUGUUACUGAGCAAAGUGUCUCCUGCAAGAGUGAAUUCCCACUUCUUGGCAAGGCAAUCACCAUGCAGUGUCAAAAAACAAGUGGAGAAACUUUCAAAUUCUUUCAUAUUUAGCUUAAAAUUAAAAAAAAAAAAUUCCAUUGGCAAAUUUAAGAUUGUGAUGCAUCCAUCUCAUUCUGACCAGUGAAGACAAGAGAACAUCAGCAUUUCUUUACUACUAUUGUAUUGAAAGGAAAUAUGAGGUAAAAAAAAGAAAAAAAGAAAAAAAAAAGAAAAAGAAAAGAAGACUGCUACUCAUUUAUUAAGAUGCCAUGAGAAAAGUAAAGAAACUGGUGAUGGAUGGACGUCUUGUGUAAUUGCUGGGUACCUGUGUUAUGCUAUGUCUGUAAAGAAUCCCAUUGGAAACUGGAUAAGGAUUUUCUUGGUUAAUUACACAGAACUAAUAUCCUCAUAGGCAGGUCCUACUUUUCGAAAAACAAAUUUUUGAAAUUGAAUUUUCUGGUAGAUUGUGUUCUGUUCCUGGGAGUGGUAUAACUAGUUAUUUUGGUAAAUGAGUUUUGAGGAUGUUUUUGGAAGGUGAAGAAGAAAUAUCAAGAUUUCCUUGGAGGAGUCACAAAAACUCUACAGCUGUGGAAAACUUAGUUCCUUGAAAGGAUGGGCAGAACUCUGCAGGGUGGAGAAGACUGGUGUUCACAGGAGACCUUCUAGCCUCCUGCCCAUGAGCCUACAGACAUCCAAAGGGACAAAAAGAGGCAGAGCACCAUUCCUCCCUGUCAUAGCCUCAGCCUCUGACACUCCUGGUGAAACUUUAGCCCUAAUAAAUUUUUUUCAUUUAAUUCUCAUGUUCUCUCUCCCUUGUUAAAUAAAGCACCUGUUAUUUAGAGCUCUCAUCAUCCUGCUCCCAACCUAGUGAGACAGCAGAAAGUUUGCCUGCAAACUCCCACUCCUUCUGUCAACUUGAUUGUCUGGGGAUGCCUUGUGAACUAUUCGUGCUCUAUCACCACCUCCUGCUUCCUCACCUUCUUUCCCCUCUCCUUAGCUGAGGCAUUUACUUGCCUGUCAUCUUUCCUCAUGUCAUUCCUGCUGGGUUGUGUAAGAUACAAAAGCUACAAAAGUACAUUUAAUUUACUAGUGUUGUAACAUGGGCCUUCCCCCACCGUGCUUCAACUAUCUGCACUGUAAUUUGAGGAUCUGUCAUAUUUUCACAAUGACAGAGCAAGUUGUCCCAGAGGUGCUCUGGUUUUCCUUUCUCUUCAGGUCUGGCUGAAAAAUAGGAAGUCUGGAAAAGGUAGCUUUAAACCCCAAUAAACAAGGAAAGAUUUUGAGGCAAUUCAACCAGAGCACAUCAUGCAGCUUAGAGAAUUAAGAGAAUAUUCCUUCAAGAGGACUGAGCCACUGAUAGUCCCAUAUGUGAAACUGCUUCAUGGGGAUCAACAUAAAAUGUUCUCUCAGGAAAGCUGUUGCUGAAAGUACCAUGACAAUAGUUACUAAAAAGUUAUCUCUGUGAAAGAUGGCUGAUGCAAUGACAAGCACGUAGCAAGUCAUAGAAUCAUAGGAUGAUUUGUGUUGGAAGGAACCUUAAAGAUCACCUGGUUCCAACCCCCUUCCAUUGGAAACCUUCCACUAGACCAGGUUGCUCAGAGCUCUCUCCUCGCUGGACUUGAGCAUUUCCAGGAAUGGAGCAUCCACAAUUUCUCUGGGCAACUUGUUCAGUGUCAUGGAUCUUGGGGACAAGCUUGGAACCUGGGGAUGGUGUCUGUGAAUUACCAGAGACAGAUCCUUUUUGUGGAGUCCAGCACUGACAUGCUGGCUAUGGUGAAGAUCUUACUGAACCUCCCUCAAACCCACAAACCCUGCACACUGUCAUUAGUACACUGCUCCUCAUGGAAUUUGGCAAGAUCUGUCAUGUGAAUGCAAGCGCCAUUACAAAUGAGAGGAGGCAGCAAAGUUGUCAUGGAUCUGAAAUACCUGAGAUGGACAUUUUUAGAGGAAACUUAGUAAUGACUGGUAAUGUUGGCAUCAAGGCGGUAAGGCUCAAAGAACCCACUGUUUAAGCCAUAAUAAUGAUAAUUAGCUCAUGUUAUUAACCCAUCAAAAGCUGUUGCAGCCCAACAAAGCCAUUCUUUCAGCAUGCUGCACAAAACAUAAACCUCUAUAAACCAGUCUUAGCUCUGAUCACUCAGUUCGCCCUGCCUGCCUACAAUCCUGUUCCUACUUUCUUCCACCUAUCUCUUCUUGCACUUAGGCCUUCUUGCUUGUCCCAGGCUUGCCUGCAACCUGGUGCCUGACCUGAAUUAAGACACUGGCAUCCAAAUCUGUCUUUCUUCUCUCUCCUCCUUUUGCUGUCUAUUGCAAAACUGAGAAUGCGUAAAGUCAGUACUUUUAUGUCUCUUAAGUUGUAAGUUCACAAAUCUCUAUUUUGAGUUACUCAGGGAGGUCUGACACAGUUCAAGAGUUCCUACAGGAGCAGAAUUACCUGGCCAAGUGAGGUAGAAGUACCUAACCUGAGGCUCAUGGGCUGCACAGCAGACUGGAUGGAGAACUACUAUUUACAUAAUGUAGGUUUUACUCUUCUUGAAUCAUUUGUCUUCAAGCACACGGAAAGAUAAGCAGUUGUAAAAUGGAUGAAGUGGUAAAUAGUGCAGAAAUACUGCCAAAUUUCAUGGGAUAUACUGGGCCUGGAAAUCCCCACCCCUCCUGAGUUUCACUUGUGCACGAGAACCUCCUCGUCUUUUCAUGACUCAGAACUGUUGAAAGAACUUUAUAAUACAGAUAGCACCCUCAUUGGUGGCAUUGAUUGUAAGAUUAAAAUGUGCCUGCAGCACUUAAUUGGAGAUCUGCUUAUACAAACAUUUGGCUUUAAAUUCUGAUUCAUUCAUAUAAAAAAGGAAUAAGACCCCCAGGGUGAGAGUAACAGCUAAGUGACACUGAGAUGAGUUUAGGCGAAGAGCAGGUUUGUGUGAAGGCUGGGGUUAUGCCUGAAAAAAAAUCUGGUUUUUUUUGUAGUUGUGGAAUGUUUAUAUCAUGACAUGUUGAUGGAGAAAGUCUAAUGUUGUGUCCGUCCCUGAUUUCUCCAUAACUCUGUCAUGUUUGAUCUUUGGAUGGAUCUUGCUGCAAAGUCAGUGUUACCUGUCCAAUAGCAUGACUGCAUAAAAGGCCUUCUCUAUAUUUAGAAUUUAUAAAACUUUCUGUUGUUUUCAGAAGGAUGGUCUAUAAAAAGGAAGGCUGGAAGGGAGAGGGAGGCAAAUUAGGCAGCACUAUUCAUGUUUCAGCAAGGAAUAUGGAGACAUGGCGAAAGGAACUCUCUGAACUGGUUUCACAUGACACAUUCCAAGAAUAUUCCCAAGGAUUUAGUGGUCAGAUUUGUCCUGUAUUUGAUUCUACAUUAGCAUAUAUGACUCUAAAGGAUAGUUCCUUUUGUAUUUACAUAUCUAGUAUCAUUUGCGUUUGUUGAUCAAUUGUUCUUUUCUUGUCUUCUCCUCAUAGGUCUCAAGUGGACCCCCCCCAAACAAACAAACAAACAAACAAACAGAAAAUCUUCCUACCUUUUUUAGCAGUUUGAAUCCUAACAUUUGCAGAUCAACUAAAUCUCAUGUUGGUGACCGAAAUUUCAGCAGGAAAUGAAUGAUCUAAUUGAUACUCAGAGUACCUCCUGUUCCCAGACUCUCCAAAAAUUGCUCCAAAGUUUGUUCACAGCUGUCCCCAGGCCUUUCUCUGUUAUUUGGCUUGAUCUUCAAAAAAACUAUGUAAAAGUGGUAAUUGGGACAGGACCCCAUCCUAUUGAUACUCACUGAGAGGCAACGAGAUUUAAAGUGUCAAGUAAGUUGUAAAAUAUUUCCCUAUCUAUAAUUGAAUUCUAAUAUAAGGGAGAGUAUAUAACCACAGAAUACAAUCCUACUUCUAUAAAAGAUCCAUUUUAAAAAUAAUACCAGAAAUGUGAGAGUCAGAAUGGUUACACCUAAUCCACUUUAAAAUGUUGAAUAUUGGGACAUGAACGAGGACUUUAUGGAUUAGAGGAGGUUAUUAAGAAGUUAUUUCAUCAUUAAAACCAUAAGCUUCCUUUCCUUAGGAAAACAGAUUUUUUAAUUAUUUUUGCUUCAGAAGGCUGCUGAGUGAAACUCAUAUAAUGACACCAACUGUCAAACUUAUCAUGUCUCAAUUAUAUUAACACCUUCUUUUGAAGUUUCUAACAUGUAAAAUGCAAUUUACUAUAAAAGAUUUCAACACCUACUGAAAAGAAUUCAAGAGUAGAGAAACUCUGCAUUUCAGCAUGAGCUUCAGAGAUUUCAGGCAGUUUCUGUGCUGCUGCUUAAAAGUCUUGUAUGCUGGGGAAAUUGGUAGUGUUCUUCAAGAUUAAUAACAGAAAAAGUGGGGGAAACUAUCUCUGUUUAUUCAAGAUGUUUGGAAAUGUUCAAAUGUAACAUGGAUGAUGAUCUGAGGGAUCAGCAAAGCAGGUCAUUUAGCACAAAACCAGGCUCAAAUAAAUUUAAUAAAAAAACCUUC